UACAGAGGUUCCAAGCGUUGUUCGGAUUCACUGGGCGUAAAGGGUGCGUAGGUGGCAGGGUAAGUCGGAUGUGAAAUCUCCGAGCUCAACUCGGAAAUGGCAUUGGAAACUACCCAGCUAGAGGGUCGGAGGGGGGACUGGAAUUCUCGGUGUAGCAGUGAAAUGCGUAGAUAUCGAGAGGAACACCAGUGGCGAAGGCGAGUCCCUGGACGACUCCUGACACUGAGGCACGAAAGCUAGGGGAGCAAACAGG
rnacentral:rRNA from 1 species